rnacentral:rRNA from 1 species
GUAAUGCGUGACCAACCUGCCCCAUGCUCCAGAAUAGCUCUUGGAAACGGGUGGUAAUGCUGGAUGCUCCAACUUGACGCAUGUCUUGUUGGGAAAGUGUUUAGUGGCAUGGGAUGGGGUCGCGUCCUAUCAGCUUGUAGGCGGGGUAAUGGCCCACCUAGGCUUCGACGGGUAGCCGGCCUGAGAGGGCGGACGGCCACAUUGGGACUGAGAUACGGCCCAGACUCCUACGGGAGGCAGCAGCU